CCCCACAAACUACAACCAUUACCUCCAAUUCCGACCACCACAAAGCACCAUCCCUACUUGCGGUUCCGACCACCUCUAGAUAAAUCUCCAAGGCUGGAGCUUAAAUGCUGUAAAACAUUGAAAGAGAAUAUCAAGUAGCUUAUGCUGGGUUAAUGAUGGAAGAUGUGAUUUGCAAAUUGUCUCACUAUCUAUAUUUAAGAAUGUUGAGAAAAGAAGACAUUUGAGGUCUUCUACUUAGGCAAUUGUAUGCUC